rnacentral:rRNA from 1 species
GGAUUCCCCUAGUAACUGCGAGUGAAGCGGGAAAAGCUCAAAUUUAAAAUCUGGCAGUCUCUGGCUGUCCGAGUUGUAAUCUAGAGAAGUAAUGCCCGUGCUGGACCGUGUAUAAGUCUCCUGGGAUGGGGCGUCAUAGAGGGUGAGAAUCCCGUCUUUGACACGGACUACCAGUGCAUUGUGGUAUGCUCUCAAAGAGUCGAGUUGUUUGGGAAUGCAGCUCAAAAUGGGUGGUAAAUUCCAUCUAAAGCUAAAUAUUGGCGAGAGACCGAUAGCGAACAAGUACCGUGAGGGAAAGAUGAAAAGAACUUUGGAAAGAGAGUUAAACAGUACGUGAAAUUGCUGAAAGGGAAACGCUUGAAGUCAGUCGCGUCGGCCGGGAAUCAGCCUUGCUUUUGCAUGGUGUACUUUCUGGUUGACGGGUCAGCAUCAAUUUUGACCGCUGGAAAAGGACCUGGGGAAUGUGGCAGCUUCGGCUGUGUUAUAGCCCCUAGUCGCAUACAGUGGUUGGGAUUGAGGAACUCAGCACGCCGCAAGGCCGGGUUUCGACCACGUUCGUGCUUAGGAUGCUGGCAUAAUGGCUUUAAGCGACCCGUCUUGAAACACGGACCAAGGAGUCUAACAUGCCUGCGAGUAUUUGGGUGGAAAACCCAAGUGCGUAAUGAAAGUGAAAGUUGAGAUCCCUGUCGUGGGGAGCAUCGACGCCCGGACCAGAACUUUUGGGACGGAUCCGCGGUGGAGCAUGUAUGUUGGGACCCGAAAGAUGGUGAACUAUGCCUGAAUAGGGUGAAGCCAGAGGAAACUCUGGUGGAGGCUCGUAGCGAUUCUGACGUGCAAAUCGAUCGUCAAAUUUGGGUAUAGGGGCGAAAGACUAAUCGAACCAUGCCAUCCC